ensembl:snoRNA
ACCCUUUCGUAGCUCAUAAGCGUGAUGAUUGGGUGUUCAUGCUGUUGUGCGCUAUGUGCCUCCCCCCAACCUUGUUACAACCUCGGCACAUUACCCGUCUGACA